rnacentral:rRNA from 1 species
AGCGAACGCUGGCGGCAGGCCUAACACAUGCAAGUCGAACGAACCUUUCGGGGUUAGUGGCGGACGGGUGAGUAACACGUGGGAACGUGCCUUUAGGUUCGGAAUAACUCAGGGAAACUUGUGCUAAUACCGAAUGUGCCCUUCGGGGGAAAGAUUUAUCGCCUUUAGAGCGGCCCGCGUCUGAUUAGCUAGUUGGUUGAGGUAAUGGCUCACCAAGGCGACGAUCAGUAGCUGGUCUGAGAGGAUGAUCAGCCACAUUGGGACUGAGACACGGCCCAAACUCCGACGGGGGGCAGCAGUGGGGAAUCUUGCGCAAUGGGCGAAAGCCUGACGCAGCCAUGCCGCGUGAAUGAUGAAGGUCUUAGGAUUGUAAAAUUCUUUCACCGGGGACGAUAAUGACGGUACCCGGAGAAGAAGCCCCGGCUAACUUCGU